rnacentral:rRNA from 1 species
GACGAACCGUGCGAACGUUGUUCGGAAUCACUGGGCUUAAAGGGCGCGUAGGCGGGUUGUCAAGUCCGGGGUGAAAGCCCCCAGCUCAACUGGGGAAGUGCCUUGGAUACUGGGAACCUCGAGGGAGGUAGGGGCGUGCGGAACUUCCGGUGGAGCGGUGAAAUGCGUAGAUAUCGGAAGGAACACCGGUGGCGAAAGCGGCGCGCUGGACCUCUUCUGACGCUGAGGCGCGAAAGCUAGGGGAGCAAACGGG